rnacentral:sRNA from 1 species
AGAAAGGCAUCUAUCCUUGUGGGCCUGACGGCUGAUACGCUUUGAGCCCCAAUCGUCAAGAAUGGCACAUACAUCUUACUGGGAUGUAUGAACACCAGAAGAUUGUAUGAUUCAGUUAUUUCCUAAAUUGGGGCACCCAACAGAGACCUGAGUUUCAGUCAUCAGAGGGCAGUUCAGGGAGGGUUUGAAUGUGGCAUCCGGGGACUCCAUGUAUGUUGGAAACAGCUCAUGUCCCAUAGAUACAUAUCACUUAUCAGAAGCAAAACUCAGGGAUGGGGUGCUCUAUGUUUUAUUGUCAGACUUGUUACUCUCUCCCCCAUAGCUUCCCUGACUUUUUCUGUGUUGCUACGGGCAGCCUGGAAGACUCUGGAUACCUUUUCCUUACUUAUUUGAUUCCUCAUCUGGUUUGGUGAUUCUAGGGCCAACAGGGGCUCAGCUGGCAUGAAGUUAGAGUCUUCAGGUUACUGACUCACAUCCAGUGUUCCUCGGGAGCCUUCUGAAUGGCCUUCAGGGAAGAGCGUUCAUAUUAGGAGGUCAUACUGCUCUAGAAAGGCCUGGCUAACUGGUCUUCCUACCCACAUGAUUGAACACUACUCUAAUUAAUUCCCUGCCUGAGCCAGCUUCAGGAGAGAGAUCUGGGCAGAGGAAGCACCCAGUUCCACUGGAGCUGGAUUAAAGCUCUCUUUGUACAGGGAACUUGCUCAGUCUUUAACCCCUCGAAGGAAAUAUAUCAGGGACGCUCUCCUAUCUGAGCCCAGCUCUCUUCCCUCCGACUACAGAGCCAGAUUGAGCAGUGGAACAGAGGGAAGCUCCCUAUAGGUGUCCCAAUGCCUGGUCAUCUCGUCUGUCUUAGAAGCCCAGAGAAUGAUGCUAUAUACUGAUGUAGGUUCAGCUUCCCUGAAGAGCAGAAUUAGUUAUGUGAGCCUUGGCUUGGAUACCAGGAAGAAAGUGUUAAAAGAAACUAUUAAAACAAUGGGGAUUCUAUAAGAUGAACUAAAUGCCCAAUGGAGGCCAGUGUCCUGUGGUUUGGAUAAAGCAUCUUUCAACCAAGGCUCAUACAUUGAAGAUUUAGUCCCUAGAUUGUGGUGAUGCUAUUGAACAUGAUUGGAUCAAGAUGACACUAACUCCCCCAAUGAGUCGCCACAUGGAUGAACUCACAUAAUUCAUAAGUAGUACCUGGAUGGAGAGAAGUAGGCCAUGGGCACUGUGUGCUUAAAGGGCAUCUAUGCUGGCUAGUUUUAUGUCAACUGGACCCAAGGUAUCUGA